CCAGGGGCAGGUCAGAACGCUGCCUGGGCUAACAGGCAGGACAAACCCAACCCGGGCAGAGGCCCGGACAGGCACCUUCCUGGAGCCUAGGGGGAGGGGCAACCAGAAAACCCUAUCUUCACCCACUGUACCCUGUGCCAGCCUCCUUCCUGACCUUGCCUGAAGUUCCCCCAUUAGUCACCACAAGCAAAGAGCAGGUGCUGUCAUCAAGCCUUAGAAGUUGUUUGAAAAGCUAAUCUUGCCUUAGAAGGCGCUGGGGCUGGUUUGAGAGCGAGAAGAUGCCCAGUACAAGCCCAGGAGAGAGGCCUUGGAAGAGCCCAACCCUGCUGACACCUUGAUCUCGGACUCCCAGACUCUAGAAUCAUGAGAAAUAACUCUCUGUGCUUGAAGCCACCUGUCUGUGGCCCCUUGCUACGGCGGCGCGAGCACACGGACACAGCAACCAUGCCUGGCACAGAUAAGCGGGUUUUUUACCAGCAGUUUUGUGCAGAGUCCUGCCCUCCGAGACGCUGCCUGGGCCCCUAUGGCGCAAUUUCAAUGCUGAGGCCAACGAAGGGAGGAGAAUUGGCAUCUGUCCCUGAGCCUUCAUUGAGAUGAAUUCUCAGUGUGUUGCAGAAGACGGGAGGGGACAACCAUUGAGUGCAGGGGCUGGUGGCUUCAUUCAUAUCAAAGGGUCCCUUCCCCCUGCAAAUCCCAAACCUCAAGGCCCUACCUGGAGAAAACAGCACCUCAGUGAAGGAGGCGAAAUCAGCAUUCCUGUUGAAAUGCGCAAGCAAAUUUCUGACGAACUUCAGUGGAACUAAGACGGGUGGGAAACCAGUACCCUGCCUGCCCAGCUGCUGUGAAGAAGGAAGGGGACAGCAGAGAUCAUCUGCCCCAUGCCAGUGAAGCUCAAGGUGCAGGUCCUGCUCUGGUCUGCCCGAAAUAGGUCUUCUUUUCAACGGUGAGCGGUGAGCGAUUCCCCACCAGCCACCUCCACGCCUGUCCCACCCUGUGCAUUUUCUCUGUGCGUUCUCCAGCCUCCAAGUGCAUGACUUCCUUCCUCCCUGCAACAGCUUCCUGGAUCUCCUCCUGAGGCCUCCGCCCUGGGCUCCCCAGCAUUCAGACCAGCCCUGCCGCUCCCCAGCAGGCCCCCACUGUUUCAUUUUCAGCCACGCCAAGGCCACCAGAGCUGCUAUUGGGAGAAUGGAGCCCGUCACCUUCCCAGCCCAGGGCAGCCCCUGCCUGGUUUCUCCCCACCCCCAGCACAGGACCGGGGGAGGUCUGUCUCUCUGCUGAUUAUGAGAUAGCUCAUGGCUGUUAGGGCUGCUUGAAUAAGCUCUUUUGUCCCAGAGAAUUUUCCCAUGUCAAACAUUUAGUCUGUUGUGUUAUGGGCCAGUGAGCAAGGAGAUAAGUCUGCAUUCUUAAACAACCUUGUGAGCGCAAGACAUCUGUCUGAAAGGCAAUCAAACAACAUCUGUCACACUGUCCCCAGCUUGCAAGGCACUUUCUUAAAAAACAAAUCAGUAUUUUAUGUUCUAGUUCUUUAAGAAUUACAUUUUGUUUUAAAAAGCCAAAUAUUACAGAAAUGUCUACUUUCGAAGAUGAAGGUCCCUCAUAAAUCCAUACCUCCCUUUCCCCUCCCCCAAUGCCAGAAAACUGUGGGUACUACUUUGGUGUAUGCUGCCGGGAUUUUUCUCCUCUGUACCUACUAACUUAGAUAGCACUAUCAUUUUCGCCCUCCUCUCUAUCACUGGACCAUAAAUUUUGUUUGGCAACUUGCUUUUUAGAUUUAACGCAUCUUAAACUCCUUUCAGUAUGAGGAUCGCUCUAACUUAACAAUUGUGUAGCGUUCCAUUGUGUCUAUGAAUCAUCAUUUAUUUCAUAAGUUUCCUACUGACAGAUAUUUGAAAUUCAACCCCUUCUAACUCAAUUUUUCCUUUAUGUAAACAACCCCGCAUAUAUGUUUCUGCAUAGUUGUGAAAGUGUUUCUAUGAGUAAGAAAGCAGAAAGUCUGGGCCAAAGGUAUAAACACUUGAAAUGUAGUAGGCAUUGUCAAAUUGACAAAGCAAGCAUUGUUGUUCAGUCUGUCGAUUUCCUGAAGGUGGAGAACGCCGCCGGGCACCUAGAGGAGUCAGUCCCCACAGCAAGAAGUGUCCGUUCAUUUUGGGUGCCCUCAUGAGAGUGUUUCCCAGCAGCCUGCAAGGCUGGGGGCAUCUUUUCAGUGUGAAGACUAAUUGAGGAGAGAUCAGAGACAUAAACUAUCAGCCUGGAAAGUACAGAAAUCAUCAGUUGAGUGAAUUCCAGGAAAGGUGAAGCCUGAAUGACACAGACAUAGUUUUUUCUGAAGAUGUGAUUGGGCUUAUUAAUAUAUCCCAUACAGCAAGUAGAGAGAUGCUCCCCUGAAUGACAAGGACAUUUCUGAAAUUGUCUGUCUGGCACCCAUUCUGUCUUUGGGAAGCACAUCCCUUUGGGAGGGACCUCUUUCCAAUGCCCAACUCCAGAAAUUGGGUUCCAGUAGGAUCUACCUAGGUUGCUGUUUGCCAGGCUAGUCAGGGGUCAUUUUUUGGAUGGAAAGUAAGGGGAAGGGAGGUCUUGUUCCAGAGGGGUUGGAAAUGCAUGUGUCCAGAGGGGGCCAGGGGCCAUGGUUUCUGUCCAGCAGAGAAAGAUAUUUGCAGAGGCUGAAGCUGACUUCAAAAUACUCAAUCAAGAGCCAAAGAAAGGUCCAUAGCCCAAGUGUUGAGUGAGGCCCUGUUUCUUCUCAUCUCCAAGGCCCAAAGACUUCCAGUCUCUUCCCCUACUUUUGAUAUGGGCUGAAACAUUAGUUUGCCUGUUUUUGACCGUUGUAUAAAUGGAGACAUACAAUUUGUACUUAUUUGUUCUGGUUUCUCUGGCACAACAGUACGUGAGUGAGACUCACCCAUGUUAUUGCCCAUAGCAGUUUUUCACUUCUACUGAUUUACAAUACUCCAGUGAUCUUGAGUGAUACCCAUGAAUAAGAUCGUUGGGCCAGGGGUGCCUGGGUGGCUCAGUCGGUGAAGCAUCUGCCUUUG